GAUGAAGAACGCAGCGAAAUGCGAUACCUGGUGUGAAUUGCAGAAUCCCGCGAACCAUCGAGUCUUUGAACGCAAGUUGCGCCCGAGGCCACCCGGCCGAGGGCACGCCUGCCUGGGCGUCACGCCAAAACACGCUCCCACCCCCCCUCACCGGGGGAGCGGGACGCGGCGUCUGGCCCCCCGGGCCGCGAGGCGCGGUGGGCCGAAGAUCGGGCUGCCGGCGUACCGUGCCGGGCACAGCGCGUGGUGGAUCUCUACUCGGCGCAGUGCACCCGGCGCGUAGCCGGCGCAGCGGCCCCUAAGGACCCAACGAACGGAGCGCGAGCCGCUCCGACCGCGACCCCAGGUCAGGCGGGACUACCCGCUGAGUUUAAGCAUAUCAAUAAGCGGAGGA
rnacentral:misc_RNA from 1 species